rnacentral:rRNA from 1 species
AUCUCCAGACUGAAUUAUGCUAUCAUCUCUUUAAUCCCUAAGGUGAAGGGUGUUGAUUUCAUUCGGCUCUAUAGGCCUAUCGCUCUAAUCAAUGCCAUCGCUAAGUUUCCUUCCAAAGGUUUUGUGACACGUCUUUCUCCUAUUGCGCAUAAGGUUAUAGGCCAGCAACAAUCGGCCUUCAUUAAAGGUCAAUUUAUCUUGUAUGUUAUUCUUAGCCUUCACGAGAUUGUUCAUCAUUUAAGAGUUAGGUAGUGCAAUGUCGUGAUCCUAAAGUUAGACUUCAAGAAGGCUUAUGACUCGGUUAGUUGGCCUUUUUUUGUGACGUGCUCUUGGCCAAAGGGUUUGAUGGUGCAUAGGUCACGUGGCUUAUGUGAUUGGUCUGUGGUGGUUACACGACUAUCCCGGUUAAUGGGGUGGUGGGCCCUUAUUUCAAAAAUGGUCAGGGCCUUAGGCAGGGUGACCCCAUUUCACUCCUGCUUUUCACCUUUGUAG